rnacentral:sRNA from 1 species
UCGCUGGUGGGGAUGUUGCUGGCCAUGACGCUGGCGAGGCGCUCGCACUGGCGGUCCAGCGUGCCGACCCACCGCCGCGCGCCGAACGCCAGCCCGGAGUUCACCAGCAGCUUGUAGAUGUUGUGCACCGACCUGUCGUCCACCUCCACAUGCUCCACCCACCUGAUGAUGGUCACCUUGGAGUAGCCAUUGGGCAUUUCUUGGAUGAGGCAGCCUGACGGACGGCGGCGACAUUUGAGGACGGGGCUAGGGCGGAGGCUGUCCAGCGAGACGUCGACGACGGCCCAUGUCCCGUCUGCGUUCUGCUUGCAGUAUCUCACGAAGUAGCUCUCUCUCGUUGGCACCAGUGGCGAUGGCACCUGAAACUCCACUGACAUC